GGGCAGUGGAUGGGACGGCUUAGCUGGAAGAAGAGUGCCACACGCUGGAAAAGGAGAAUAUUGUCUUCUGAAAUGCUUCUGCAAGGGUCUUUAAAGGAAAGUUCUCAAACUGAGAACACACAAAUUUAAUUCUCUCUCUUUUCUGUAUUUUCAUUUAUUUUACUGACAUCAAGUACAGAGAAUUGGAUUUGGGGUUAGUCAUAAUUCUGGUUCCUGCCAUAGUCAUCACUGUUGCAUUUAACAUGAGGUCUGCUUUUAGUGAGUUAGUUCUUGAAUUAAUAAGUUUUUAAUAAUGUAAUAAGCCUGAUGGACCUACCACCUCAAACAAAAAAGCAAAGCCCUUGACAAUAACCUCCAUGCAGCCCUGCGGCCCAUCCCACCCUGUCUCCUUGCCUCCCCACACCCAGAAUAACCAGGCUCCUGCAGUUCUGGACCGGAUUGGAGGCACUGCUGUCACAGAUUAUGCUUCAAAAACCUUUCACC
rnacentral:lncRNA from 1 species